rnacentral:misc_RNA from 1 species
AAGUCGUAACAAGGUCUCCGUUGGUGAACCAGCGGAGGGAUCAUUACAGAGUGUAAAAACUCCCAUUAAACCCAUUGUUUAUCUAUCUUAUAACGGUUUCCUUUGGUAGGCAAUCCCAGGGCGGGAUUGAUUUUGCUGUUUUUUUACAGCGCCUACCAAAAGAUACCUAAAAACUCUUGAAUUUUUAAAACUCUGAGAAUAAAAACAAAUAAUUAAAACUUUCAACAACGGAUCUCUUGGUUCUG